AACGAACGCUGGCGGCAUGCCUAACACAUGCAAGUCGAACGAGACCUUCGGGUCUAGUGGCGCACGGGUGCGUAACGCGUGGGAACCUGCCCUUAGGUUCGGAAUAACUCCCCGAAAGGGGUGCUAAUACCGGAUAAUGUCUUCGGACCAAAGAUUUAUCGCCUUUGGAUGGGCCCGCGUUGGAUUAGCUAGUUGGUAGGGUAAAAGCCUACCAAGGGGACGAUCCAUAGCUGGUCUGAGAGGAUGAUCAGCCACACUGGGACUGAGACACGGCCCAGAAUCCUACGGGAGGCAGCGGUGGGGAAUAUUGGAAAAUGGGCGAAAGCCUGAUCCAGCAAUGCCGCGUGAGUGAUGAAGGCCUUAGGGUUGUAAAGCUCUUUUACCCGGGAUGAUAAUGACAGUACCGGGAGAAUAAGCUCCGGCUAACUCCGUG
rnacentral:rRNA from 1 species